rnacentral:rRNA from 1 species
CGGUCGCGGUGCAGUAAUGCUUAGGAAUCUGCCUAUUAGUGGGGGACAACAUUUCGAAAGGAAUGCUAAUACCGCAUACGUCCUACGGGAGAAAGCAGGGGAUCUUCGGACCUUGCGCUAAUAGAUGAGCCUAAGUCGGAUUAGCUAGUUGGUGGGGUAAAGGCCUACCAAGGCGACGAUCUGUAGCGGGUCUGAGAGGAUGAUCCGCCACACUGGGACUGAGACACGGCCCAGACUCCUACGGGAGGCAGCAGUGGGGAAUAUUGGACAAUGGGCGCAAGCCUGAUCCAGCCAUGCCGCGUGUGUGAAGAAGGCCUUAUGGUUGUAAAGCACUUUAAGCGAGGAGGAGGCUACUUUAGUUAAUACCUAGAGAUAGUGGACGUUACUCGCAGAAUAAGCACCGGCUAACUCUGUGCCAGCAGCCGCGGUAAUACAGAGGGUGCAAGCGUUAAUCGGAUUUACUGGGCGUAAAGCGCGCGUAGGCGGCUAAUUAAGUCAAAUGUGAAAUCCCCGAGCUUAACUUGGGAAUUGCAUUCGAUACUGGUUAGCUAGAGUGUGGGAGAGGAUGGUAGAAUUCCAGGUGUAGCGGUGAAAUGCGUAGAGAUCUGGAGGAAUACCGAUGGCGAAGGCAGCCAUCUGGCCUAACACUGACGCUGAGGUGCGAAAGCAUGGGGGAGCAAACCAGGAUUAGAUACCCCUGGUAGUCCAUGCCGUAAACGAUGUCUACUAGCCGUUGGGGGCCUUUGAUGCUUUAGUGACGCAGCUAACGCGGAUAAGUA